ACCUGGUUGAUCUUGCCAGUAGUCAUAUGCUUGUCUCAAAGACUAAGCCAUGCAAGUCUAAGAACAAUCGUGAAUACACAAGAGAAUCUGCAGAUGGCUCAUUAGAUCAGUUAUGGUUUAUUGGAGAACAGUCAGUUGCCAUGGAUAACUGUGGUAAUUCUAGAGCUAAUACAUGCGAUUAAGCGCCGACCCUUCGGGGGAAGCGUGCUUUUAUUAGGAACAAGGCCAGCCCGGUCCUUUCGGGGGCCGGUCUACGCUGGUGAACUCUAGAUAACCACGCCGAUCGCACGGUCUCGCACCGGCGACGCUCCCUUCAAAAGUCUGCUCUAUCAACUUUCGAUGGUAAGUUAUCUGCUUAUCAUGGUUGUGACGGGUAACGGAGAAUCAGGGUUCGAUUCCGGAGAGGGAGCCUGAGAAACGGCUACCACAUCCAAGGAAGGCAGCAGGCACGCAAAUUACCCACUCCCGACACGGGGAGGUAGUGACAAAAAAUAACGAUACAGGCCUCUUCGGAGGCUCUGUGAUCGGAAUGAGUACACUUUAAAUCCUUUAACGAGGAUCUACUGGAGGGCAAGUCUGGUGCCAGCAGCCGCGGUAAUUCCAGCUCCAGCAGCGUAUAUUAAAUUUGCUGCAGUUAAAAAGCUCGUAGUCGGAUUUCUGGCCGGGGCGGGCGGUCCGCCGCGAGGCGAGCACUGCCCGUGUGUCGGUCUUAACGGGCCUGGCACUCUCUCCGGCCAGUUAUUCGGUCGGUCGUGCGGUGCUCUUAACUGAGUGCCGUGCGAGGCUGAAACGUUUACUUUGAGAAAAUUGGAGUGUUCAAAGCAGGCCAAAGUGCCCGAACAGCUCAGCAUAGAAUAGUGGAAAAGGAUCUCGGCUCGUUCUAUUUCGUUGGUCUCUGGAACCUGAGGUAAUGAUCAAGAGGGACUGCCGGGGGCAUUCGUAUCGCGGCGUGAGAGGUGAAAUUCUUGGAUCGUCGCAAGACGCCCGACAGCGAAAGCAUUUGCCAAGAAUGUCUUCAUUGAUCAAGAACGAAAGUCGGAGGAUCGAAGGCGAUCAGAUACCGCCCUAGUUCCGACCAUAAACGAUACCGACCCGUAAUUCGCCGGCGUUCCUCCCAUGACGCGGCGGGCAACUCUCCGGGAAACCAAAGUCUUUGGGUUCCGGGGGAAGUAUGGUUGCAAAGCUGAAACUUAAAGGAAUUGACGGAAGGGCACCACCAGGAGUGGAGCCUGCGGCUUAAUUUGACUCAACACGGGGAAACCUACCCGGCCCGGACGCAGUAAGGAUUGACAGAUUGAGAGCUCUUUCUCGAUUUUGUGGAUGGUGGAGCAUGGCCGUUCUUAGUUGGUGGAGUGAUUUGUCUGGUUAAUUCCGAUAACGAACGAGACUCUGGCUUGCUAUAUAGUCCGGCCACCCGUCGUGGUGUGCCGCGUCUAACUUCAUAGAGGGACAAAUGGCUUUCAGCCAUACGAGAUAGAGCAAUAACAGGUCUGUGAUGCCCUUAGAUGUCCGGGGCCGCACGCGCGCUACACUGGCGCAAGCAGCGGGUACAUUUGCCCUCGGCCGACAGGUCUGGGUAAUCCGCUGAGAUUCCGCCGUGCUGGGGACAGGGACUUGUAAUUGUGUCCCUUGAACGAGGAAUUCCAAGUAAACGCGAGUCAUCAGCUCGCAUUGAUUACGUCCCUGCCCUUUGUACACACCGCCCGUCGCUACUACCGAUCGAAUGGCUUAGUGAGGCCAUUGGAUCGUCCGUCUACCGACAUCCCCGGCUUCGGUCGGUUGUCGAGGCGUGACGAGAAGACGGUCAAACUUGAUCAUUUAGAGGAAGUAAAAGUCGUAACAAGGUUUCCGUAGGUGAACCUGCAGAUGGAUCA
rnacentral:rRNA from 1 species